rnacentral:rRNA from 1 species
AUGAGGACAGAACUAGUUCAUUGGGCUAGGGCAUUUUUUCCUACAGGAGCUAACUGUUAAUCUGUGGACAAUAAUCUUUGUGAGUCAUUUAACAAUGCCAUCAUAGAAUCAAGGUUCUACCCAAUUAUUUCACAGCAAGAGAUGAUAAGAAAGAAGAUGCUUGUCAGGGUGCAAGAGCAGAGAGCCAAAUCAGCAACAUGGAAGGGCAAAAUUUGCCCAAAUGUUUUCAAGAAGCUAAAGGUGAGUAUUAGAUUGACACAAUACAUUGAGGUACUCUGGAAUGGCAAGGAGGGAUUUGAGGUGCAGCACAUGAAGGGAAGAAAGAAGAAGUACACAAUAAAUCUUGAAAAGAGGGUAUGCGAUGAAGCUAUGUACCUAGGGUAG